GCGUGGAUCCGCUCAAGCUAUUUGGCGAUGUCGAAUAUGGACUCGUGGAUCUCAGUGAAAACAAGGUAUGUGUGAGGUGUAAAGUAAGGCAUCAAAUCUAGCAACAGGUAAUUUUCAGAUUGCUUCUUCGGUUCGUCUGUGGCGUGAAUUGAAGCGUGUUCGAGCGAAGGAACUGAAGCUGGCCAACGUUCCCAUCACCAUGAGUUCCAAAUAUCCCAACAGCAUUAAGGCGUUGCAGGGAAACUUUAGUAUGGUGGAUGGCAUUCCCCACGGCAAGCUCCACAGCACCUAUACGCCCCUGAAGCACGAUAUCGAUUUGGAGUCGACGGCAUACGCAUUGACUGGACAAAAAAAUCGAAGCUGGCUGAUUUUGAGCAUAGCGAAGAUUGGCAUGCAUUUUUGGUACCCGAUCCUAUGCACGCGUUAACUGAAACAAAUCUCUUUACAUUAUUCUUUAUUACGACAAACCAAUUUCUGAGCGAGAUCUAUCCCUGCUACUACAAGUUUGACGGAAAGGAGCACAUUUUUCUAGUGCACAACUGCUUCGAACAGAUUGCGUAUUUAGUGCACAGUUGCAAUCUGGAGAUACAAAUCCACGAAACGGUGCCAAAGGUAGAAGAUCCAGAUGUGUGCAUGGGUCCUCGUACUAUUCCGUUCUAUAUGCGCAUGAAUGUCAGCCGCUUUAAGCUCCAUAAUGUGGAUCCCCAGGAGAGGAUUACCAAAUGCAUACAGAAGUGCUAUGUGGCCCAGAAUCGGCUGCUCAAAAUGUCAGACUUCCAGGCAACCGAGGGCCUUAAGGGCCUUUGGGUCCACAUGGGCUCGACGAGGAUUCUGAACAAUAUUCUAACAAUUAUCUCGCGUCAGUACAUGUCAAACUGCUCGGAGAUCCGUCUGUGCAACAAUAAUAUUCUCAGGAUAGACGCCGCGCGCGUCCUGUCGCGAAUGUGGAGCCUCGUGCGUUAGAUUUGGGCCAUUAUUGGAUAAACGAUUUGGAGGACAUCAAGGCGUUGGGUGAGCUACCGCUGAAGUCCCUGCGACUCCAUGGCAAUCCGCUGUGCCGAAAGUACAUCCAGGCAGUGAAGGAAAUCUUCCCCCAACUGACGACGCUGGAUGGGGUGGAUCUGAGCAGCAAGCCGGGCCAGGUGCCGCAGAAGAACUUCCUGUGCGACAUUGGGGCCAACGAGCUGGUGGGCGACGUAUUUCUUAGCAACUAUCUGCACGAGUUCGAGCAGGCGGACAUGCGGGCCAACCGCCUGAUGAAAUAUUACACGGAAAACUCCAUAUUCACGAUGACCAGCAACUAUGUGAUGGGGCGCUCGCAAUCAACGCCCAGCUCUUUAAGCGCAUCUCAAAGUACACCAAGCAUUCGCGGGACAUCAGAAAGUAGUCGGACUAUACCAAAGCCACAAACGAAUUUCAUGUGGGUUUGAUGGAGAUCAUUCGCGUGCUCAUGGAGCUGCCGAGUGUCGUCCACGACUUUCGAUCCCUCCAGACUGAUGUGAUGCACUACAAUGGCCAGUUGGCAGUUAUUCAUUUGACUGGUCUGAUGCGCGACGACUCUCCGAGCACACAUAACCAGGCGGAGCUCUAUUUGGCCUUUACCAGGAACUUUGUACUCAAGGUUGAUAAGGAGGGACUGGGCUUAGGAAAGAAGGCUUGCCGCUGAAAGAUCUCUAAUGACCACCUGAGCAUCAUAAAUCCCUCGAGGAACCAGGUACAAGAUGCGUUCAAGGUCUGCCCACUGCGAAGGAAUCGUCUGAAUGCGCCAGCCUCCAAGGAUUCACUUGAUGCCAAGAGCCACAAGCUCAUUUUUUUCCUCCAGCUUACCGGACUAACACCUCCCUGGUGCACAAGGAUCGUGGAGUCGGCCGAAUGGGACUUUGAACGGGCCAGCAAAAUGUUUCUCGAAAUGAAGAACAACAGAGAGAUUCCCGAAUUGGCCUUUGUCUAGGCAGACGGCAAGCAAGCAGCAGUACUUAAUGCUUUGCGGAAACCGAAUUUAACACCAACACCAAUUUAACUAACCAAAGAACAAAUCAAAGAAUAUCUACUAAGAAUUUUUGCCUUCAA